CUCACCCGUGACUUAACUUUCUGGGUAGACAUGUGUGCCAGAGGUGCGCUGGGGCCAGAUGGGGCAGGAGGAGUCCACCCAUAUUUCAGCUCAAAAUUGUAUUCAAGGAGUUCUUGAUGUCUAAAAAAUUUUGCUUUAUGAAAAGAACCAACUACUCUCAACUUAUCUUUUAUUCAUUGUAAUUAAAUUAUUCCUUUGUACAUGGAAUAAAAAAAGAAAUUAUUAAAUUUAUUUGAAGACAUCCGAAUAACAUUUGGUUAUGCAGUCUGCCUAUUUUAAUAUGACUUGCAAAAUUGAAAACUGCAGAGGAAUUCUAAGUCAAUAGAAAAAUCUCUAAACUUUUUUAAGGACAUUCAUCUCAAAAUGUGGUUUUAAACUUAGGCACUUCACCAUCUGACACAGGAAGAGAAAGAUAAGAAACCAAAUAAAAUACUAGCAAAGUCUGACAAAACUCUCUUUCCAAAAUUAGACUUAUUAAUCUUCACAUGAGAGACCCCAUUUUCUACAGAGGGCUUAUUUUUUAAUACACAGGACCACCUCUCCUCCCCACUAAACUUAGAAAAUUACACUGGUUUCUUGGGGCUUCUGCCCAAGUUUCUUCCUUAUGUACCACUGACAUUUCUGCAAACCUCCUCUAAAUAUUGUGAGAGAUAGAAGUGGCUUUUUAUUUGGAAAAGUAGUUGUGAUUUAGGAUUAUCAGUGAAACCCCUUGGGGCUUUAUUGAAUCAUGUCAACAGCUGUCAGUAAUAAUAUGUACUUUGCUGGCCACAACAUAAUGUAUUGAUAUGUAUAAAACAAUGUUACAAACUGGAAAAAAAAAUAUAUUUUUUUAAUAAUUUAUAUGCAGUCUUAUGAAUAAUACAGAGCUCUUUGUGAGCAUUAUGGUGCUGUAGAUAAUAAAUUUAACCUGUUCUCUGGCCUGCCAAGAGAGUUGUAAAGCAGAAUAUAUUGGUUCACCUUUGUGAAAAUAAACAAUUUUAGUAUGUCAGUACGUUCUAGCUAACAUUUACUUCUGAGGUCUUAAAGAAUAGUGUGCUCUAAAUGGUUCUGGGAGUGUUUAUACUGGCUCUGACUCUCCUGGGUAAUGUUUCAGUGAGUGAUAUGAUCAGAUAACAAGUGGCACUAUUUCUCAAGUAUUGAUAUUGUGAUAUCUCCUGUAGUUUUAUUUCCUGGAGUAGCUAAUUUUGUCUUAACUGGAUCUGUAGUUGUUUGUAUGUAUUUUUAAUAUGAUUUUUUUAAAGUGGUUUAUAGACUUGUGUACAUUUUCUAAGUGAUAUCACCCUUCUUUCUCAGUUAUUUUUGCAUGGAUCAGGAAUCAAUAAGUCCUUACUGUUCUUGUUUUAUCUUCUUGACAAAAUACAGACACCCUUAUAGGAAAUGUUUCUCUUGAAACUGAAAUAGCAAUCAAUUCAUCACCUCUUCAUGUGUUCCAAAUGGUAACAAGACAUCUGUAUUCAUAGCAAAUCAUAAUUGAUUAUAUAAAUUAAUUUAUAGUAACAUAUUUACAUAAACUUUGUGAGAAUAGCCAAGCUUUCUGUGUUUAUUAAUUUCUCCUACAAUAGCAGUAAGGGUGGUGAUUUUUGCAUAGGAAGAAAAACUCUGAUAUUCAAUCAAUCUUUUGGCUGAUAACAUACAACUGAAAUUUUAACAUGUUGUAAUUUCCUCACAGGAUAACAAAGAAGAAAUAAAUUUAUAAGCAGCACUUUAUUGAAGAGGAGCUGCCCCGCUUUGGUCGCGGAUCCCACUUACCUGGGACUAACCCUGCUUUGAUCGCGGAUCCCACUUAUUGGGACUAACCCCGCUUUGGUCGCGGAUCCCACUUACCUGGGACUAACCGGUGCACCACCCCUGACUGCUGAAAGUUCUGGUUCCCGGGUCUCGGCACCACUUGUCGUGACCCCUUGCCCGCAAGGAAGAUGCAACUCAGGAAUCUUCUUUCAGCAGUUUAUUCAGGCCCUUGAUAUUUCUUCAUCUCCCUCUCGGAUGCCCCUCCCAGCCUUAAUAAAGCAUCUCAAACCCCAA